rnacentral:rRNA from 1 species
GGUGAACGCUGGCGGCGUGGAUGAGGCAUGCAAGUCGAAUGGGUUUAGACCCAUGGCGGACGAGGUAGUAACACGUAGGUACGUACUCCAAAGUCAGGGAUAAUCUGCCGAAAGGCAGGACAAUACUUGAUGGUCCCGAAAGGGUAAAGAUUUAUCGCUUUGGAAACGGCCUGCGCUCUAUCAGCUUGUUGGUAAGGUAACGGCUUACCAAGGCUACGACGGAUAGGGGAGCUGAGAGGCUGACCCCCACCGAUGGAACUGCGACACGGUCCUUACUCCUACGGGAGGCUGCAGUCGAGAAUCUUCCGCAAUGGACGAAAGUCUGACGGAGCGACGCCGCGUGGUGGAUGAAGUCCUUAGGGACGUAAACACCUUUUAUGAGGGAAGAAGUUUAU